UACGUAGGGGGCGAGCGUUGUCCGGAUUUAUUGGGCGUAAAGAGCUCGUAGGCGGUUCCGUGAGUCGGCUGUGAAAUCUCCACGCUCAACGUGGAGGGGUCAGUCGAUACUGCGGUGACUCGAGUCCGGUAGGGGAGUGUGGAAUUCCCGGUGUAGCGGUGAAAUGCGCAGAGAUCGGGAGGAACACCCGUAGCGAAGGCGGCACUCUGGGCCGGUACUGACGCUGAGGAGCGAAAGCGUGGGGAGCAAACAGGAUUAGAAACCCCAGUAGUCC
rnacentral:rRNA from 1 species